GGCGCUGUGCCCCGGAAGCGGAAGUGUGACUGUAGUCUGUCAGGGAGUGUUCCUCGGUGGUCCAGGAAUCCAGCGAAGUCGUUGUCGUUUAAUUUUUGCAGGCUCUCGAGCGCUUCCCCCCUGGCGGGUGGGAGUGCAGAGAGGAAAGUGCAAGAUGAGCACCAUGUUCGCGGACACACUGCUCAUCGUUUUUAUCUCCGUGUGCACGGCUCUUCUUGCCGAGGGUAUAACCUGGGUCCUGGUUUACAGGACAGACAAGUACAAGAGACUGAAAGCGGAGGUGGAGAAACAGAGUAAAAAACUGGAAAAGAAGAAGGAAACAAUAACAGAGUCAGCUGGUCGACAACAAAAAAAGAAAAUAGAGAGGCAAGAAGAGAAACUGAAAAAUAACAACAGAGACCUAUCCAUGGUCCGAAUGAAAUCCAUGUUUGCAAUUGGCUUUUGUUUUACUGCCCUAAUGGGAAUGUUCAAUUCCAUAUUUGAUGGUAGAGUGGUGGCAAAGCUCCCUUUCACCCCUCUUUCCUAUAUCCAAGGACUGUCUCAUCGAAACCUGCUAGGGGAUGACACCACAGACUGUUCCUUCAUUUUUCUGUAUAUUCUCUGUACCAUGUCAAUUCGACAGUGCUUAGUGAACAAAUGAUUAAGCUGCCUUGACCUUCACACCACCAACUGUUUCUUUUGUAUGAAUUUGCAGCAGCGGAAAUGAACAUCCAGAAGAUUCUUGGUCUUGCCCCUUCACGAGCUGCCACCAAGCAGGCAGGUGGAUUUCUUGGUCCUCCACCUCCUUCUGGGAAGUUCUCUUGAAAUCAAGAAGAACCCUGUAAUUCCUGUCAUUCUUUUUAAACAUUCAAAUUAGACUGGCAACUAUUUUGUAGCAAGAGCCAUAGACAACCUUAGCACUUGGGCCACUUUCUAGUGCUGAGUUAUUUCUAGCCUUUUUGGGUAUGAUUCAAAUGAGAAUGGCUCCCAGCAAACAUGAUAGUACUUUCAGUCACAGAUUAAUUUUUAGAAAAAUAAGUUUGUUGGUUAGAUAAGUUCAGGCAUUGUUUAUGUAAUGAGAAGCAAAUAGCAUCUUUCUUGUUUGGCCUACAUGGAUAUUUUCUGUGGGCCUGACUCUCAAGUCUGUGCUGUGUGCCAUGUACCAUGGAAGUUGGCUCUCCAUGAGCAUUUAGAGAUCUGGAAGAAAAAUUUAGUUUGUGAUAUCUUAAUUGGAACUAUUUGUUGUACAUUGUUUCCAAGCCAAGUAUAUGACCCAGGAUCAAUAAAGACGCCAAAAUUUUAGCUAUUUCAUCUACAAGGUCAGAUCUGUUUUGUACCAUAUUCCUAGAUACAUGUUUUUAGUAAUCUGAACAUAAACAUUGGCCAGGAAGGGCUAAACUCAAAGUUUUAAAUGUACUAUUUUAUCAUACUUGCCUUAUAAGCUCAUAAUAUAGAGUUGUCCUAUUAUAAGAAGUGGAAAGCAUGAGAGGAAAGGAGAGAAGUAACUCAUGGGAGUAUAAAAAGGAGGGCUUGGCAUCCCUUUAAACCCUUGGGUGACUUACGGGAUUCUUGGCAAGGCACUCUUAGUCCUCCCCUGGAGGCAAGGUUAUAGUUAGAGGUAGGAAGCCUUGCAGAGCUUCCUUUUGGUCACAGUGGCCUUUAGUUCCUGCCGUGUUCCUUUGUAAAGGAUGAGAGGAUGCUUUUAUCAUGAACUUCCCCUGCCUAAUCCCUGAAAUUGGAAAUCUUGUAUGAAGUGGUUACUCUCGUAACAAAUACAUACAUUGAUCAGUAGUCUCCUUAGAUGCAUGUGUUCUUCCAAUGAGAGAAGACAUGUUAUUUGCAAAGUAACAACUGUGAAACUGAUAGCAAACUUCUCAAUGGCAUAAAAUCCAGAAGACAGUGGGAUAAUAUCUUCAAAGCUGAGGAAAAUAAUUAUCAGCCUAGAAUUUUAUGUACGGCUAAACCAUAAGAUUGGGGGCAAAACUGGGAGGCAGUAUUUUCAGAGCUACAAAAUCCAAGAUAAUUAUGAACUUCUAAGGUUAUGUUUCUGGGGCACCUAGCUCGCUCAGUCAGUAGAGCAUGCGACUCUUGAUCUCGAGGACAUGAGUUCAAGCCCCAUGUUGGGCAUAGAGCUUUCAUAUUAAAAAAAGAAAUAUAUAUAUAUAUAUAUAUAUUUCCAGGACAGAAAAGAAUACCAGGAGGAAGGUGUAGGAUAUAAGAAACAAUGGUCAACACAGAUAUUUAUAAAAUAUAUGGAUAAAUUUAAGUGUUUUAUGGAUUAUCUGGUUAAGAAUUGUUUCAAGAAAACCCCAUAAGGUAACUACUGUUCUUACCCUCAUUUAACAGAUGAAGAAACGGGCAGGAGAGGUUAAGUAACUUGCUCACCAUCACUUAGCUAGUGAGUGGCAGAGUUAGGAUUUGGAGCGAAGCCACCUAAAGUUACAUAGUGCGGGCUCUCCAGUCCCUCCCCAUAGGCGUGCGGUGAUUCUCUUCCCUCGGCUCUUAUUCUUCAGCUAGAGUACAGGAGACAUGAAUUGGGGGCGGGGGGUGCUUGGUGGUUCUUGUUUCCUUAAAGCUAUCACAUGGGUGGGAACACAGCAGAAGCUCAACAAAAGUAGAUGAAAUGGAACAGAAAUCUUUAUUUCUAGGUCACUUUGAUCAGAAAGGAUGCCUGAUAAUGGACGGCAAUGAUUUCUAACAGUCUUUUCCCCGCGUCAAUGACUGUUCCAGGCAAAAUAAUAGUGAAAAGAAUGAUCAUGACAAAAAUGAUGAUCAUGAUAACAGUGAUGACAAAAAUGACGGAAUCUCUAAAAUAAAACAGAAAAGAGAAGGAACCACACUGAAAAUUCUGCCAAUGCCUUUGUAAAGUGAGAAUAUAUAAUCCAUCCUACCACCUACCUCCUUAGGUUUUGAUGAGAGUGCUUUCUAAUUAAAUUUCUUAUGGACCAGGUUUUCAUAAAGUGUAUUUCAAUAGAAGAGGGUGAAUAAGAGGGAGAGUAAAAAGGAAGGAGAGUAACAUCUAUUCACCCUAUUUCUAAAACAGCACAAUAGGUGUAUUACAGAAGAGUAAAGCUACCACAUCACGAGAAUGUAAAUUAAAGGACAUAUUAAGGCCUAUGCAACCUCACAAUUAGUUUUUUUUAAUUACUUGCCCUGAACAGUUUUCAAGACUAGUCAUUUGGAUGAUGACCUUUCAAGCCAGACAAGCCUCUGAACAUCUCUUAAAAUGUAUGACUUGGCUACUGGACCUAUGUAAAGGAUAGUUGUCCCUUUUCUAGUUUAAGGGGAAAAAAUCAAGCAUUUUUAAUGCUGUGUAUUAGCCUACUCAGGUUGCAGUCAUAAUAUGCUAAAGCAGUAAACUUUGGGGGAAAAAAAUGCAGGUAAACCUGAAUUUAUUAACAGAUAGCAUUCCAAAAUCUAGGUCAGUUUGGAAGUUGGAAAGCAAAUGGGUGUAGGUACUCAUGUGCCCUUGAGCAGACUGUGGUCCCUCUUCUCCCAUGUAAAUCAUCCUCCAGUGGGGUCAGGGACAUACAAUGACACCAGUGGAUUGAUGAGCAUACAGAAUUCCCUUACAUCCAAAUCAAAACCAUUUUGCCGCACACUAGUAUGUAGUAGGGUUUUUUUCAGUAUACUUUCUUUUUUUGCAUUAAUUCUGCUUAAGGUGUAGUCUUUUAAUUUACUUUUACCCUUGAGUUUUUAAACUUUUUAGAAUGGAAAAAAGUCUCAAAAACAAAAGUCUUAAAAAGUAUAAAGAACACUGAGAUACCCAUUAUUCAACAAUUACUAACUCAUGGCCAAUCUCAUGUCUACCCCUGCCUGCCUCCUGUAGUAUUUUGAAGCAAAUCCUAGGCAUCCCAUCUUUUAUGCAUAAAUAUUUCAAUGCUUUUAAA